AUUGAGAAAGUCAAAGAACCCAAAGCAAAUUGGGACAGUGCUCCGCAUACAAUUUUUAUGAAUGCGUGCGUAGAGGAGGUUCGAGCAAAUAACCGCAACGGUGGUUAUUUUUCGGACAUAGCACAAGCUAAUUUGCAUAAAAAGUUCAAUGAACGCUCUGGAAGAAACUAUUCGACCCUGCAAAUCAAAAAUAGGUGGGGUGUAUGUAGAAGCGAGUACAACACAUGGAAGACAUUGAUCCAGCAAGCAUCUGGCUUAGGAAGAGAUGAGCAUACACACACUAUUGCAGCUACAAAUGAGUGGUGGGCAUUGGAGAUAAAGGCACAUCCAGAAGCUGCCAAGUUUCGCUAUGCUCCACUAGCGGAGGAGGAAAAAAUGUCAGAGGUUUUCGAUACUACUUAUGUCAAAAAUGAGCAUGCGAGGGUGCCAACUCCCUCGUAUCAUGGUGAUCCCUCUCGAAUCAUUUUGGAGGAUGACUCAGGGUGUGAUAGUCAUGAAGGCCAAGUUACCCCUGUUCAAAAUUGA
rnacentral:rRNA from 1 species